AGUCGUAACAAGGUUUCACCACGGAGACCGUGCAUCCCUAUCGGGAGGCAGCGCGACUGAAAAUAACGCUGCCGUAUGCAAGUCAGGCAACUGGCAACACGAUCGAAUUGCGGGGACCUCCUAAAGCUUCACAUACCACCUACCCUUGAAAAGGGGCAGCACGGUAAUAAUGGUGGAGAUGUUACAAUGGACGAUCCGCAGCGAAGACCCUACAGCGUAAGCCAUGGGUAGCGUUCACAGACUAAGUGAUUGUGGGUGGCGUGCUACUUAAGAUAUAGUCGGGCCCUGACCGAAAGGCUGGGGGUAAAGGUCCGUAGGUGAACCUGCGGAAGGAUCAUUAAUAGAGCAAAGGACAGGCAGCGCCCCACAGAAGCUUGCUUCGUGGGGGCUACCCUACUUCGGUAGGGUUUAGAGCCGUCGAACCACUCGGAGAAGUUCGGUCCUAAACUCCACCCUUGAAUAAAUUACCUUUGUUGCUUUGGCAGGCCGCCUAGCGCCAGCGGCUUCGGCUGUUGAGUGCCUGCCAGGGGACCACAACUCUUGUUUUUAGUGAUGUCUGAGUACUAUAUAAUAGUUAAAACUUUCAACAACGGAUCUCUUGGUUCUGGCAUCGAUGAAGAACGCAGCGAAAUGCGAUAAGUAAUGUGAAUUGCAGAAUUCAGUGAAUCAUCGAAUCUUUGAACGCANNUUGCGCCCUCUGUAUUCCGGGGGGCAUGCCUGUUCGAGCGUCAUUAUACACUCAAGCUCUCGCUUGGUUUGGGGUUCGCGUCNGCNGCCCUAAAAUCAGUGCGNNGCCUGUCGGCUCUACGCGUAGUAAUACUCGUCGCGAUUGAGUCCGGUAGGUUUACUUGCCAGCAACCCCAAACUUUUUACAGGUUGACCUCGGAUCAGGUAGGGAUACCCGCUGAACUUAAGCAUAUCAAUAAGCGGAGGAAAAGAAACCAACAGGGAUUACCUCAGUAACGGCGAGUGAAGCGGUAACAGCUCAAAUUUGAAAGCUAGCUCUUCUAGGGUUCGCAUUGUAAUUUGUAGAAGAUGCUUCGGGUGUGGCCCCGGUCUAAGUUCCUUGGAACAGGACGUCAUAGAGGGUGAGAAUCCCGUAUGUGACUGGGUGCCUUCGCUCAUGUGAAGCUCUUUCGACGAGUCGAGUUGUUUGGGAAUGCAGCUCAAAAUGGGUGGUAAAUUUCAUCUAAAGCUAAAUAUUGGCCAGAGACCGAUAGCGCACAAGUAGAGUGAUCGAAAGAUGAAAAGCACUUUGGAAAGAGAGUUAAACAGUACGUGAAAUUGUUGAAAGGGAAGCGCUUGCAACCAGACUUGCGCGCUGAUGAUCAUCCGGGCUUCUGCCCGGUGCACUCGUCUGCGCUCAGGCCAGCAUCGGUUUCGGUGGUGGGAUAAAGGCCUUGGGAAUGUAGCUCCUCUCGGGGAGUGUUAUAGCCCCCGGUGCAAUGCCGCCUACUGGGACCGAGGACCGCGCUUCGGCUAGGAUGCUGGCGUAAUGGUUGUAAGCGACC
rnacentral:rRNA from 1 species